CCUGUGCUCAGUGGUCAGUGUAGGUCCUGCAGCGACAGCAGCUACAUCCGGCUACUGGGUCUCUG
rnacentral:pre_miRNA from 8 species